CACGUAGGGUGCGAGCGUUGUCCGGAAUUAUUGGGCGUAAAGAGCUUGUAGGCGGUUUGUCGCGUCUGCUGUGAAAUCCGGGGCUCAACCCCGGACUUGCAGUGGGUACGGGCAGACUAGAGUGUGAGGGGAGGACUGGAAUUCCAUCGGUGGUAGCGGUGGUGAAAUGCGCAGAUAAUCAGGAGGAACACCAAUUGCGAAGGCAGCUCGCUGGGACGUUACUGACGCUGAGACGCGAAAGCGUGGGGAGCAAACAGG
rnacentral:rRNA from 1 species